GAUGAAGAACGUAGCGAAAUGCGAUAAGUAAUGUGAAUUGCAGAAUUCAGUGAAUCAUCGAAUCUUUGAACGCACAUUGCGCCCCCUGGUAUUCCGGGGGGCAUGCCUGUUCGAGCGUCAUUUCAACCUUCAAGCUCUGCUUGGUAUUGGGCCUGCGCUGGUCUCCCAGCGGGCCUCAAAAUCAGUGGCGGUGCCAUCUGGCUCUAAGCGUAGUAAUUCUUCUCGCUAUGGAGUCCUGGUGGAUGCUUGCCAUCAACCCCCAAUUUUUCUAUGGUUGACCUCGGAUCAGGUAGGGAUACCCGCUGAACUUAAGCAUAUCAAUAAGCGGAGGA
rnacentral:misc_RNA from 1 species